UCUCUGCUGAAUGCCAUCAUGGUACCUGGCUGGUCAUCAAAUGCACAAAUUUCAGAAUGCAUAAUUUUUGUCCCUGUUCCUGCCCAGUGGAAAUUAGGGGAUUUCCCUAUUUUCAGAUCCCAUUUAGCUUGUGGGGUGUGAAUGAUGCUGGAGAGCUCAUCUGUAAGAGAGUGGCUGCUGUCUGGGAGCAGGAGAGCCUGGCUGCCAUGGAAACCAAGCCUUGAAACGCCCUGAACUUCCAGCACCAGCCUUGGGAGAGGAUUCCAGUGGUGAAGCUCAAAGAAGGGGAUGCUGGAGGAGGUGUAAAGGUGGAGGAGUGGGAAGGUGUAAGGUUGACUGUGGCAGGAACAGGUCUGGGCUGUUCUGCCAUGGCACUGCACAAGGACCUUAAUCUGACAUACUGGAAACUUUAAAGAUCAGGUUUUUUCCUACAAAGAAAGUGUUGAGGUGAAGGGCUGCAAAUUGCAAGUUACAAGUUGAACACCAGAAAAACCUUGGAAGGACAAAAGUUGUGGGAGCUAUUGGGAAGGUGGAUUGAGAGAAAAAUACCAUUCACCUUUUGGGAACAACAGGUUUUUGUUUCUGCCCUCUUUACACUCUUUGAUCUCACAGACUGAAGGAGAAUAUACACCAGAAGCCAUGAAACUGUCUUCCCGUUUGCAUAUUUCCUGGGAAAGGGGCCUUAAAUCUGGCAAAGUGAAGUAUGUCACAACCUCCCAGUUAAAAAUCUCACUUUCUGUAUUACCGACCUGUCAUUAAUCCUGCAAGAAGGAUGUUAAUAAGAACUCACUGUUAAAUACCGCAUACUACACAUGUUGGACAUCUGAUGUUCCUUCUCCUAACAGUAACAUGGAAAACUUUCUUGUACUCCCCUCUCAGGAUCUGUCUCAGUGAAAACAGAUGGAAACGGAAGUGUAAGUAGGACCAAUGAUCCUGGUGUGAAGAUGAUGAGAAAACUUCACUUAGGAGGUGACUACAUCUACAGCUGUGCUAAAAAAGAUGGAACUGUACUUCCUUGAGACAAAGCUGAAAUUGGGUUUUCUGUGAAGACCUGAGCAGGUUAGACAACUGCAAUUCCAGAUAAAACACCAGCAGUCAAGAUUGUGUAAGUAAAAGCUGGGGAAAGAGCAUGCCUCCUACAUGCCACAGAAUAUACUCUGGCAUGGGCAAGUAGUAACAGGUAUCAAGCCAUGGGGCUAAUCCUUUUUCAUCAGGAUAAUGCCAUGUCCUGGUGCAUACAAGUUUCUAAAUGAUGACAUUGUGGUGACCUUUAGGAAGCCCUCUAAAAAUCAUUAGGCCUAAUUCUUCUUGUGAUUACGUUACUUAAACUUCAGAGCUACUGCACUGACUUUAAGGCAGUUGGUUUGGAUUUACAUCUCUCAAGCUGGCCUAUUAUUUCCUGUAUUGUUUCCAGUUGCAUGAAAUCAUCUGUGCACGUCCUCCAGGGCUGCUGGAACCCUCUGUCCUCCCCAGCACUACACAUGAUGCAAUGAGCCUCUGAUGGAGGAGGAAAGCUGAGAAGUCCAUGUAGGGAAGCAGAUAAUUUCCUUUAGA